rnacentral:snoRNA from 1 species
AGCUAUGAUGAGAUUUCUCGUUAAUCCGAGAUAAGUUUUAUGAGGAUAAACAAAAUCCAUUUAUCAAGUUUCUGAGC